rnacentral:rRNA from 1 species
CCUACGGGAGGCUGCAGUGAGGAAUUUUGGUCAAUGGUCGGGAGACUGAACCAGCCAAGCCGCGUGUGGGAUGAAGGUACAGAGUAUCGUAAACCUCUUUUGUCAGGGCACAAAGGCGGGGACGUGUCCCCGGAUGAGUUUACCUGAAGAAAAAGCAUCGGCUAACUCCGUGCCAGCCGCCGCGCUAAUACGGAGGAUGCGAUCUGUCUCCGGAUUUUGUGGGUUUAAGGGGUGGGCAGGGGGUCUGUUAAGUCAGUGGUAAAAGCCCGGGGCUAAACCCGGGCCCGCCGUUGAGACUGGCAGUCUAGAGUGGGAGAGAGGUAUGCGGAAUGCGCGGUGUAGCGGUGAAAUGCAUAGAUA